AAACUCUCAUGGGCUUUUCAGCCAGAUCUGAAUGCCUUAACAGCUGAUUCUGAGGCCAGAGUGCUGUUUAGGACAUCUGCCAUUCUAUGAAUCUGCUGUGUAUCCUCCUUCCCAUACAACCCUCUGUUUCUAACUGGCCUUGAGACCAUCUUCACAAAUAGACCCUACCAAGUUUGGUAAUAGUAACAUGAAUAGCUGUCUAUUGAGUCUUUGUACGUUGGCACAUGUUACAAGACAUCGCCUCAGGGUGAGUAUUUGGCACUGCUUGGGAUGCCCUCAUACUGUUUCAGAGUGCCUGAGUUCAUGUCCAUGCUCUGCUUCCAAUUCCAUUUCCCUGCUAACGUGGACUCUGGGACUGCCAUCCUUGUGGAAGACAUCAAUUGAGUUCCUGGCUCUUUUGACCUGGCCUACUAGCCCCAGCUGUUGCAGACCUUUGGGAGUGAUCCAGAAGAUAAACCAAAAGGACAAUGCAAAUAGUUCAGUGUCACACAAAUAGUCAAUGGUGUUGUUGGGAUUCAACUUCAAGUCUGACUGACAGACUCCAAAACCUCUGCUCCUUCACUGGCAACCAUAUCUUCCCUGAUCUCAUCCAUGGGGCAUACACUUGGGAAAGAGUUUCAUGAAUCUGCACAGGUACCUCAUCUGGGCAGAGUCUCAAAUUGGUCCUCAAGACCUAGUUCAAGAAAUGAGCACCCAGGGCCGGCACUAUGGCACAGCAGGUUAACGCACUGGCCUGAAGCACUGGCAUCCCAUAUGGUCGCUUGUUGAGACUCGACUGCUCCACUUCCGAUCCAGCUCUCUGCUAUGGCCUGGGAAAGCAGUGGAAGAUGGCCCAAGUCCUUGGGCCCCUGCACCUGCGUGGGAGACCUGGAGGAAGCUCCUGGCUCCUGGCUUUGGAUCGACACAGCUCUAGCUGUUGCAGCCAAUUGGGGAGUGAACCAUCAGAUGGUAGACCUCUCUCUCUCUCUCUCUGCCCCCCCCCACCCAUACCCUCC